GAAAGAUAAUAAGCGAAACCAUGCCCAAAUGAGCUAUGCUUCGCUGUUGUGCAGAGACAACGGGCUGCCUCGCUAAACGAUGCACACCUGUAACUCACGUGACCCAUGGUUAUUAUUGAAACGAGAACGAGGGCGUCGUGCCUUUAUAAGACUGCGUUAAUGGUUCCGUGGAGUUAUCCCUUCCGUUGUUGUUCUUUGAUUGUUAAACAUGGCUUCAUUUGCAAAGGUGGUUGUGUGUGUCCUCAUUGCUUGUGUCUGUAAUGCAUUCGGUUUUCCGAAGAAAGAUGUGAACUUUAAGGCCUCUGCAGUUGACCGCCAAAGUGAUGAUGUGGUUGUCAC